rnacentral:tRNA from 1 species
GGCGGACGUAGCCAAGGGUCCAAGGCAGUGGAUUGUGAAUCCACCAUGCGCG